rnacentral:rRNA from 1 species
UACGAAGGGGGCUAGCGUUGCUCGGAAUCACUGGGCGUAAAGGGUGCGUAGGCGGGUCUUUAAGUCAGGGGUGAAAUCCUGGAGCUCAACUCCAGAACUGCCCUUGAUACUGAGGAUCUUGAGUUCGGGAGAGGUGAGUGGAACUGCGAGUGUAGAGGUGAAAUUCGUAGAUAUUCGCAAGAACACCAGUGGCGAAGGCGGCUCACUGGCCCGAUACUGACGCUGAGGCACGAAAGCCAGGGGAGCAAACGGG